ACUCCUACGGGAGGCAGCAGUAGGGAAUCUUCCACAAUGGACGCAAGUCUGAUGGAGCAACGCCGCGUGAGUGAAGAAGGUCUUCGGAUCGUAAAGCUCUGUUGUUGGUGAAGAAGGAUAGAGGCAGUAACUGGUCUUUAUUUGACGGUAAUCAACCAGAAAGUCACGGCUAACUACGUGCCAGCAGCCGCGGUAAUACGUAGGUGGCAAGCGUUGUCCGGAUUUAUUGGGGCGUAAAGCGAGCGCAGGCGGAAUGAUAAGUCUGAUGUGAAAGCCACGGCUCAACCGUGGAACUGCAUCGGAAACUGUCAUUCUUGGGUGCAGAAGAGGAGGAGUGGAACUCCAUGUGUAGCGGUGGAAUGCGUAGAUAUAUGGAAGAACACCAGUGGCGAAGGCGGCUCUCUGGUCUGCAACUGACGUUGAGGCUCGAAAGCAUGGGUAGCGAACAGGAUUAGAUACCCUGGUAGGAUAGCG
rnacentral:rRNA from 1 species